rnacentral:sRNA from 1 species
CGAAACCCAAGGUGCAUGCCGAGGUGCGGUAGGCCUCGUUAACAAACCGCAAAAAAAUAGUCGCAAACGACGAAAACUACGCACUAGCAGCUUAAUAACCUGCAUAGAGCCCUUCUACCCUAGCUUGCCUGUGUCCUAGGGAAUCGGAAGGUCAUCCUUCACAGGAUCGUGUGGAAGUCCUGCUCGGGGCGGAAGCAUUAAAACCAAUCGAGCUAGUCAAUUCGUGGCGUGUCUCUCCGCAGCGGGUUGGCGAAUGUAAAGAGUGACUAAGCAUGUAGUACCGAGGAUGUAGUAAUUU